rnacentral:rRNA from 1 species
GACCCGUCUUGAAACACGGACCAAGGAGUCUAACACAUAUGCAAGUUUGCGAGUGAGAAAACUCGUAAGCGAAUUGAAAGAGAGUAUAAGAUGCCAAGGGAAACCGGCAGCAUCGGCCGUCCCUGAUCUUCUGUGAAGGGUAUGCGCAAGAGCAUAUUUGUUAGGACCCGAAAGAUGGUGAACUAUGCUUGAGUAGGGUGAAGCCAGGGGAAACUCUGGUGGAGGCUCGAAGCGAUACUGACGUGCAAAUCGUUCGUCAAACUUGAGUAUAGGGGCGAAAAACCAAUCGAACCAUCUAGUAGCUGGUUCCUUCCGA